GGUCUGAAAUAAGACAAAAUGUACGUUAUUUACACAUAAUGUACAAAAAAAGAGAAGAUAAUGUCCGAGAAGGCGCCAGAACAAAAGACUCAAGAGUUAACCAUUGCAUCUCUCUUUUGGGAAAAGAUGAUGUAAACCCCGCACCAUGUGACACUGUAAUGAAUAAUACAGUAGAGAGGUGGGGAGAGGAAAAGAGGGGGGACGCAAACACAGUUAAGGUUUGAUGAGAGAACAGAAGGAGGGUCACACAUCCUCAAAGACUGACAUUGAGAACUACUUGGUGCGUUGUUUUUGUCGGAGAAGAUGUGCUGGCCGCCCGCGGACCAGCCGCUGCUGCUGCCGGGCGACUCCUGCGGCUCCGGGAGACCGUCACCGUGCUCCGCGGCUCAGCUGCUGGCGUCGCGGCUGCGGAGGAUCGGCGACCAGCUGGAGAAGAGCUGGGCGGGAGGAGAGACGCCGGAGGUUGGCUACGACUGCGGGGACAGGCCGGUAGCGGCGGCGGACCGAGGCCGGAUGAAGGGCUUCCUGCGCAUCGCGGUGCGCUUCACGGUGCUCGUGCUGCUCGUGGCGAGGCGACACCUGUAGGGCGCGAGACCAGCAACAGAUGGUGCCUUUAGGGUCAUGCGUUGAGGGGAAAAGCAGCGGGGCUCACAUCAUUUGCGCGUAAAAGCCAGACGGAUGCAGUAGGUGGAUGCGCUCCCGGAGGAAAGGUGUGCGUUUUAAACAGAAAGAGGAGCAGGAGGACGGGGAUUAAAUUCGGCUCUGUGCGUCUGAAUACGACGGGGCCCGAGAUGUGGAUGCAGUUUCAUAACGAGCUGACACUAUUAACCCCAGCUGCCCCUCAGUCAAGUCAGUCAGUUGCAGUCCUGCGCCCUUACGUGACUCCGAUUCUGUCAUCCCAUUUCCACUGCGGUGAUGUAAUCCUCCCCUGGUAGAGUGGAGGGAAAAGCUUACCCACAGUGCGCCUUUGAAUUUUCACCUCCCACGAUGUGAGCGCAUCAAUAACAGCGGGGUUAAAUGGAUUCUGUAUCCAGGCUACAAUUAGCGCAGCAAUCCUUAACAAUGCACUGGAAUACACCUGUUUUUAAGCUUCACAAUGCACUGUACCUUUUGUUGUUUUUUUUAAACAUAAGCUACGUGUAAAUAAUAAUGAUAAUGAGGAUGAAUGUUUUUCUAGGUGUUUUCUACAGUGUUUAUUAUGUGCUUUAUCUGUUGGGGGGAGUGUUAAGUGGCUUUUUAAGAAGAAAAUGCAGGACCUGUGCAUAGGAAGCUGUUAUGCUGUCUGUGAUUUCUUAAUAAAGGAAGAAAAUAAGCUGAUAAAUUCACUGUAAUGUGAGCAGAAUUGCUGUCUUUUAUAAAAUGUGUGGUCCUUUCUACUUCUGAAAUAUUUCAUAUGGAUUUUUAGUAGCCAUGAGAAUAAUAAUAAUAAUAAUAAUAAAAAAGCUUUUACUGAAAUACA